rnacentral:misc_RNA from 1 species
GAUGAAGAACGCAGCGAAAUGCGAUAAGUAAUGUGAAUUGCAGAAUUCAGUGAAUCAUCGAAUCUUUGAACGCACAUUGCGCCCGCCAGCAUUCUGGCGGGCAUGCCUGUUCGAGCGUCAUUUCAACCCUCGAGCCCCCCCGGGGGCCUCGGUGUUGGGGGACGGCACACCAGCCGCCCCCGAAAUGCAGUGGCGACCCCGCCGCAGCCUCCCCUGCGUAGUAGCACACACCUCGCACCGGAGCGCGGAGGCGGUCACGCCGUAAAACGCCCAACAUUCUUAGAGUUGACCUCGGAUCAGGUAGGAAUACCCGCUGAACUUAAGCAUAUCAAUAAGCGGAGGA